rnacentral:sRNA from 1 species
AUUGCAAAUUUGGCUUCAAGCAAAUAAUUUUCUGAUUUUCUAUUCAGACAACAGAUCAGAGAACAAAACGAGAAAACAUAAAGGAAAAGCGAAAGGCUAUCUUAGAGGCAAGACUUGCCAAACUUCGACAAAAAAAGAUGAAAAAAUCAAAAGAAGAUGGAACAGAAGAAGCAAAUAGAGAUGGAGAUGUUAUUGGGCCUUUGCCACCGGAGCCAGAGGCUGUGCCAACUCCACGUCCUGCUGCCCAGAGUAGCAAAGUAGAAGUCAUUGUCCAGGAGAGGAAGGACACCAAGCCUGGAGUGCCACACAUCCGGGAGUGGGACCGCGGAAAAGAAUUUUCCUUUGGAUACUGGUCGAAGAGGCAGUCAGAUCUCCGGGCUGAGAGAGAUCCUGAGUUUGCCCCACCGUCAGAUUACUUUGUGGGUCAGAAGAGAACUGGUUUUUCCAGCAGCCAGGCAUGGAGCA